rfam:Streptomyces sp. WM6378 P402contig26.1, whole genome shotgun sequence.
AAACGCCCGGUUACAUUCCGAACCCGGAAGCUAAGCCUUUCAGCGCCGAUGGUACUGCAGGGGGGACCCUGUGGGAGAGUAGGACGCCGCCGAAC